rnacentral:rRNA from 1 species
AGCCAUGCCUUAGUAGCGGCGAGUGAGCGGCAAAAGCUCAAAUUUGAAAUCUGGUACUUUCAGUAUCCGAGUUGUAAUUUGUAGAAGCAACUUUGGUGAUGGUCUUUGCAUAAGUUCCUUGGAAUAGGACGUCAUAGAGGGUGAGAAUCCCGUUUAUGGUGAAGAACCCACACUAUGUAAAGUGCUUUCGAAGAGUCGAGUUGUUUGGGAAUGCAGCUCAAAGUGGGUGGUAAAUUCCAUCUAAAGCUAAAUAUUGGCGAGAGACCGAUAGCGAACAAGUACUGUGAAGGAAAGAUGAAAAGAACUUUGAAAAGAGAGUGAAAAAGUACGUGAAAUUGUUGAAAGGGAAGGGAUCUAAAUCAGACAUGGUAUUUUGUGAUCAACAGUCUUUCGGGACUGUGCACUCGCAUUUUACUAGGCCAGCAUCGGUUAGAAGGGGGUAAAAAAGAUUUUGGAAUGUGGCUCCUCGGAGUGUUAUAGCCAAGGUUAAUUGCCCCAUUUCUGACCGAGGACCGCGUCUUUUGACUAGGAUGCUGGCGUAAUGGUUUUGAUCCACCCGUCUUGAAACCACGGACCA